rnacentral:rRNA from 1 species
CCUACGGGGAGCAGCAGUGGGGAAUAUUGGGCAAUGGGCGCAAGCCUGACCCAGCAACGCCGCGUGAAGGAAGAAGGCUUUCGGGUUGUAAACUUCUUUUCUCAGGGACGAAGCAAGUGACGGUACCUGAGGAAUAAGCCACGGCUAACUACGUGCCAGCAGCCGGGGUACUACGUCGGUGGCAAGCGUUAUCCGGAUUUACUGGGUGUAAAGGGCGUGUAGGCGGGAAAGCAAGUCAGAUGUGAAAACCAUGGGCUCAACCUGUGGCCUGCAGUUGAAACUGUUUUUCUUGAGUCCUGGAGAGGCAGACGGAAGUCCUAGUGUAGCGGUGAAAUGCGUAGAUAUUAGGAGGAACACCAGUGGCGAAGGCGGUCUGCUGGACAGCAACUGACGCUGAGGCGCGAAAGCGUGGGGAGCAAACAGGAUUAGAUACCCUUGUAGUC